CAACAACUCUGUCAUUAGGAAGUGACUAAAGAUUUGUUUCUUAAGCACUUGGACAUUUGCAGAGAACUUCAACAGGAGGUCCAUAGAGCUGAGAUAGGUUCCAGCACCCUCCAAGACUCCAUAGGGAAUAAGCGGUAGAAAAUGGAUGGAUGGAUGGGUUGGCCCUGUGAUGAGGUGGCGACUUGUCCAGGGUGUACACCGCCUUCCGCCCGAAUGCAGCUGAUAUAUGCUCCAGCACCCCCCCGCCACCCUGAAAGGGAGAAGCGGGAACAGAUGAGAGCUGUCUUUGUUGCACCAAGCAAAGUCUUGUAAGAUUCCGCUGUGUACGUUGGAAUGAGACGGGAGGGGUUAUCUAUUGUCCUCAAAGACCUGCCGAAGCUGAAUCCAGGACGAGCCCAAACCCGAGGCAUCUUAUUUUGUCUUCAAUGUGACCGAAAACAAUGACUGUUUACAUACUCCCCAUUUCUGUUGUGACAUGUGUUGUUGCGUAAACAUUGAAUAUCUAAAUAAAAGAGGAGACGUAAACCUUUUUGUCAGAGGGUGGUGCAGACCUGUACAGAGAGUACAGUGGCCAUGUCUCUCCUCAGAUCUGAGUCUAAAUUGAAUUCUGUCUCUGUUCGAUUCUUUACCUUUUGUCUUGUUUAAUAGAUGUCAUCAGUAUUUGAACAUGACACCCACCCAUUUUCACUCCAUAGCAAUUCUAUCCCAUUUCCUUGUUCAUUUAUGGUAGUUUAAGGGUACCUUAAACAGCUUGCCAACGUCAGAAUUUGUCGAUACACCAGGGCAACACUUAUCAGCAGAUGUCCUGUUAGCAUGAUUCUGAAUAGGUCCUCAACUAAAAGAAUCGCCAGGCACACAACCCUCCACUUCUCCCGAGAGUCCAUCGUGUAUCCAAAAUAAUAAUUUCUAUCAGGACAGACAGGUUCUCCAGAAACCCGAACUUCUUAUCGAAGAGAUCUUGUCAAUUUCAUUGAGAGGCAAGUUGUUACGGCUCAGACCCCUGCCAACAGCGCUCAUCCAUCUGUGCGCUCCAGUGAGCGUACCUGAGGACACGCCCACGGGCGCGCGUCUCCGCCCUGCGGCAUCCACCAGCUGUAAUCAUUCACCGUCAAUCAGCACACCUGCAUGCAAUGGAGGAGCUGCCUUCUUAAGCCUGGACAACCUGCCAUCGCUCGCCGGAGUAUAGUCUCCAGUUGGCAUUCUACCUCCGUUCCCGUGUUUGACGUUUCUUUGUGUCUCAUCAUUCCUCAUCGUCGUCCCCCUGCUUCUCAGACUGCCCCCUUGGAUCUCGACCUCCCGCUUGGAAACGGAUCUUGUCUCUUCGCUCCUGCCCUGGAUCAUCUGCCUGUCCCACGGACUUCCGUGUUCUUUCGCUCUCACCAACAUUUAAGUGUUCAUGUCACCACCGCUGUUUCCCGCCUGGCCCCAAUUUGCCUUCCCGGAUCCUCGACCUCGUUUGGACUUUGGACCCGUUCUCCUGCCUUUGACCGCCGCUUGGACUUUGGACUUCCUCUGGCUUGUUUCCCUCCGGAUUUGGACGCUAUUCAUCCAACACGCACCUCAACAACCCCUCAGGGUAUUCACAUAUGGCAAUUCAAUGCAUAGCCAUUCAUGCAGAAAAAACAUAGUAGCAUACACACUCCACGUAAUC